AGCAAAGCAAAGCAAAGCAAAGCAAAGCAAAACAAAACAAACAAAACCCACUUAACCACAAAAACCAGGAAAAGCCCCAGGAAGGAGCAGCUGGAAGCUGCCUGCUUCUAUCCCUGUCUACAGAGAAGGUAACUUAUGGUUGUCUGGGGAGCCGAGAGUGCACUGGAAUUCUGCUGUACCUCAUGCAACCACAAGAGGGCGAGAGAGAGCCUUUCUCUAGAAGUUCCUGCCGGAGGUGGGAAAUACUAGCAGACCUAGCAGACACAAUGGGAAGAGUGGGUGGUCAGACCAGGGCUGAGCCCAGAAGUAGACAAAAGGGGUACAGACCACCCGGUCUUGUUCCUAGAGAACUCCUCCAAGAUCAGGCUUUGGUCCUCCAUGCAGCUGGUGCCUGACAACUGAAGUCACCUACAAAGAUAAGGCUAAGAUCCUCACUAGAGGAGAGAAAAAGCCCUAUUUGAUCUCAGCCUAGGUAUAUCUUGUAGUUCACAGGGCCACACUUAGAAAUGUCCAAAGUUUUAUACACAGACAGACAGACACACAUACACACACACGCGCACUCAAGGCUUUAUCUGUCCCCAUCAGGUAUCAGAAAAAUGUCCCAUUCCCUUGAGAGAACAGUGUCUUGAGGUGGGAAAGGUCCUGGGCCUGCUGCCCUCAGGAGCAAGGAGGUUCUCCUUUGAAACAGACAGACCCCUGUGGAAGUUGGGGCCCCGUAGUGCAGGGAUAGGGAUGUGGGAACAAGUCGGGAGAGGCACCGCGAAAGGAGCUGGCUCCCUGCCCUGCUUGGGGACAGCUAUGCAGUCAUGUGACGAAGUAGAAGCCACAUGCAUAGACACCCAGCGGGGACUAUAGAAUGGGCGGAGAGGUAUACAGUAGGGGCAAACUGGUAGCCACCAUGGGCCAGGGCAGAGGGUGGGAAAGUAUCUUAGGAACUGCAUGAUAGCCCUUGAGACCACACCACAGUUAUGAAGUAGGUCAAGAGUUGAACCGCUGCCCAUAGAGGCCACCAAAGGGAGCCAGAUGGUGGGAGCAAUAGGCUGGCCACAGACCAGGAGUCCAGACACUGGGAACUGGUGUCUUGGGGCACAGACAUGCACAUCCCAGCCCGACUUUUCUAUUUACUGAGUCAGUUACCAGGAUUCACAUGUUGAAGUUUGGGGCUUUUGUGUGGAAUUCCACCCUCUCGCUCACCAUCAUUCCGUGGUAAUAAAAUCCUGGCUUUGUCCCUGGAAAUGUGCAGGGAGGUGACUCGUGUGUGAGUCACCAGCCGGGCAGGGAGUUCCGGUUUUUGUAUCUAUGGCUAAAGGCCAUUCUCCGAUGGGUUUCUCAAAGGAGCUUGGGACUGUCUGCAAAGGGAGCCCUCAGAGAUGGCGCAGCCUGCUCUACAGCCGAGGAGUGCCCGUGGAACUAAGCCAUCAAAUGUGACCAGGCAUGAGCUGGAGCAAGCCAUGGGGACAGCGUUUCCCACGGAGGAAAUCUAGCCUUCCCGUGGUGUACUCUCCAGGAGCUGAUGCGUGGAGCCCACUUUCCUGGGGAAGAUUGGAGUUGCUCAGGGCCGUGAGAAUCCACCCCACCGGAUCUGGGAUCCAAACACGGGCAAAUGUCACAACGUGCGCAAUUUGCCUUAUUUAAACAAGCUGCUCGCUGUGUUUGCAGGACUGGGCUCAAGGACAGUCUUCUUCCCCUCGGUGGCGAUGCAGGGAGAUGCAGGCAGAGCGGGUGGAGGCCGGGCUUCCUUGGAAUGAGGCCCAGUGGACCUUUUCUGAUUCAUAAGAAACCUCUAGUUUUAUUGCAGAAUCACAGUUGUACGCAACCUGGACGCUCUGUAGCUGGAGGCUGCAGGUGCUACAAAGGCGGCAGAGCCUUAAGCAGCAUUGCUAAGCUCCUCUCUCUCUUUCUGAAAGAUCCAGGAGUCGGGGAGGGGACAGACUUUAAAACCUGAAGCCUCCUAUCUGAAAUCCAAACAUUGGCAAACAGGGGAACACAAACAUAGGGAGCCGUGCAUGUCCCCCUGUCCCCAGAGUUCCGGAGUCAAUGCUCAAACCUACGCAGACUGUAGCCAACUCAGAAUGCAGGCCUGGCUGGGGACUCAGAAGGACUGGGCUCUGCAUCUGUCCAGCUUGGGUCUCAGGGUCAUCUAAGUGACAACUUCCCAAUUUCAUAGAGCUGACCAUGAAAUAAGACUGUGGAUGGA